CAUUUUUCAUAUUUAACAGAGGAUGAGCAGCUUUUCUUACUUAUGAUUCAAAUCGAAGUGGGCUUUAAAUUGGCACUAAAAUCUGUUCAUUUAUCACCUUAAAAUAGUUCUUAGUAGUAACAAAUACAACACAAGUGCCCUACACUCCUGAUACCGGAUACAUUGGAAAUGUGUAAGCAACCCCAAAUCCCCUGAGUUUACAAAGAAUGUGCAGAAAAAGGGACUUUCAUCCAUCCCCUGAGAGGGAUCCUUAAGGAUCACUCUGUUCCAACCCCCCGCCAUGGGUUGGGUGCCCCCCAGCUCAGCCUGCCCAGGGCCCGUCCAUGGCCUUGGGCACCUGCAGGGAUGGGGCACCCACAACUAUGGGCAGAAGAUGCCAACAGGAUGUGUUCGUGUUUGUGUCAGGGAAAUAAACACCAGGAAAAAAACAGCUACAAAGAGACGUUAAGCAGUGCCACGUUUGGUGCAGGGCUCAGCAGCAUGCAGUGAGCGAAGCAUGGGGCUGCACACUGAAUAAGAAUGACGAAAAAAAAAAAGCCCAACAGCUGUCUCAUUCAUUGAGCACGAUUAAUCUGAUCUGAAAGAAGCCGGGUUCCUAUGGAAAAACAAUGUGCAGCUUGUAAUCAAGAAGCAUCUCAAAGCAUGUGCAUAAGUGGUUUGAUUCUCCCAUAAAAGGGUUGGAAAUCCAAUACAACUAUUGACAUGCAGAGAUCUUUACAACAGCAGAAAGCAGAUGCUCUGGCCAAGGAUCAAAGCUUUGAGCACUGGUUUAGGCCAUCCAGGAGGUCAUUUCCUGACCUCCAAAUCUCCCUUUCCAACAUGAAAGUUCUGCUGAUUUAUUCUUUCACUUGUUUGCACUGCUUAUGUGGAUGAGAUAGAGCACAGAAACUGGAACUUUUAGGAGCUGUGUGGCACUGGGAGAGAAAUGAGGGGUGUGGGGCAGAAACAAGGAGAUGGGGUUGGCAUGGUGUCACCGCAUGGCCGGACACCGGCAUGAAGGCACCACAUGGUUGGGGUUGGGUUGGUGGCACUGCAUGGUAGGUGUUGGGGUGAUGGCACCAUGUGUUUGGGGUUGGGUUGGUGGCACCAUGUGGUUCGGGUUGGGUUAGCAACACCACAAGGUUGAGGUUGGGUUGGUGACACUGCAUGGUUGGGGUAGGGGGCACUGCAUGGUGGUUGGGGUUGGGUUGGUGGUACUGUGUGGUUGGGGUUGGGUUGGCAGCACCACAUGGUUUGGGUUGGGUUGGUGGCACUGUGGGGUUGGGGUUGGGGGCACUGCAUGGUGGUUGGGGUUGGGUUGGCAGCAUCACAUGGUUGGGGUUGGGUUGGUGGCACUGCAUGGUUGAGGUUGGGUUGGCAAUACUGCAUGGUUGAGCUUGGGUUGGUGGCACUGUGUGGUUGAGGUUGGGUUGGUGGCACUGCGUGGUUGAGGUUGGGUUGGCAAUACUGCAUGGUUGAGGUUGGGUUGGUGGCACUGCGUGGUUGGGGCUGGUGUGGUGGCACCAUGUGGUUGGGUGGGUGGCACUGUGGGGUUGGGUUGGUGGUACCACAUGGUUGAGGACCAGAGGCCACACUCCCACCCAGGGCCACCCACCGCCUUCCCAUGGAGGGAAACCACAGUGAAGGCUCCUGCAACGUCUCAGGACACACAGGACCAACUCUCAGUCCUUUCAGGACGGGAUUUGUCCCUUUUGGGUCACGAAAGACCUUUCCAUUCCUUUGGUUAAAAACAACCAAGGAGAAGCUACAGCACUCAAACCUGAUUUUGUACUUUUUAUCCCUGCUUUGUGACAGCAAAUGAGGAUCAAAAUAGAGCAUCGUGUGGGUGGGUGUAGAUUUAAAUAGCAAAUGGGCACACGGCCGGUGCCAUCCGUCCACCGCAGCACCGCACGGAGCAAUGCCCUGAGCACAGCUGGGCACAUCCCAGCCCUUCACACAGAUCACAGCCUGCAGGAUGCUGCCAUCUCCCCACGGCUAGGGGGACAACAUAGAACCACUGAAUCACAAGAAUGGGUUGGGUUGGAAGGAACCUCAAGGAUCAUGAAGCUCCAACCCCCCGCCACAGGCAGGGCCAUCAACCUCCACAUUUCAUACCAGCCCAGGCUGCCCAGGGCCCCAUCCAACCUGGCCUUGAACACCUCCAGGAAUGGAUGGGGCAUCCACAGCCUCUCUGGGCAGCUGUUCCAGCACCUCACCACUCUCACAGUAAAGAACUUCCCCCUCACAUCCAACCUCAAUCUUCCCUUCUUCAACUUCAAACCAUUUCCCCUUGUCCUGCUGUUAUCUGCCCUAUCAAAGAGUUGGCUCUCCUCCUGUUUAUAGGCUCCCUUUAAGUCCUGGAAGGCUGCAAUGAGGUCACCCUGCAGCCUUCUCUUCUCCAAGCUGAACAAGCCCAGCUCUCUCCGCCUGUCUUUGCAGGGAAGGUGCUGCAGCCCUCUGAGCAUCUUUGUGGCCCUCCUCUGGACUCUCUCCAACAGCUCCCUGUCUUUCUUGUAUUGGGGGCCCCAGACCUGGACGCAGUACUGCAGAUGGGGCCUCACG
ensembl:lncRNA